GAAAAGGUAACAUGAACUCUUUUCCCAUGUAAAAUUUUUCUGGGUCUCAAAUUCAAAACCCUAACGUAAUCUACUAGCCCGUCAGAUUCGUCUGUUCGAGUCUCGCAUUUGGAUUUGCAGUUGCAGUUGCAGAGCUGCGAGAUGUCGCACUUUGGGAGAGCAGGCCCUCCUGACAUCAGAGACACCUUCUCCCUACUCGUCCUCAACAUCACUUUCCGAACAACCGCUGAUGAUCUUUUUCCUCUCUUCGAUAAGUACGGCAAGGUCGUCGACGUAUUUAUUCCCCGAGACCGAAGGACCGGAGAGUCGCGAGGUUUCGCAUUUGUUCGAUACAAGUAUGCGGACGAGGCACAGAAAGCGGUGGAGAAACUCGAUGGGAAAAUUGUCGAUGGCAGAGAGAUUAUGGUCCAGUUUGCCAAGUACGGCCCAAAUGCCGAGCGAAUCCACAAGGGAAGGAUAAUAGAGACAACUUCAAAGACAAGUGGGAGGUCAAGAAGUCGUAGCCCUCGUCCUAGGUAUCGGGAUGAAAACAGGGACAGGGAUUAUAGAAGGAGAAGUCGCAGCAGAAGUAGGGAGCGAUAUGAUCAUGACAGGUACCGCAGGAGGGAAAGGGAUCGUCGUCGCCGUAGCAGGAGCCGUAGUGCAAGUCCUGAUCAUCACAAAGAUCGUUGGAGAGGCAGACAUGAAGAUGACCGGCGAAGUCGAAGCCGUUCCAAUGAUAGUGCUUCCCCUGCUGGGUGCAGUCCUCAUCCUCGGAGGACUCUAUCUCCACGUAGGACACCUGGUGUUGACAGUCCUGAUGCCCAGACUAGUAAUGGAGCUUCUGUUCCAAAAACUGUUUUGCCACAUACCCGUGUUGAUUCUCAAAGCCCAACUCCACAAAGAUCUGAUGCUGAUGAAUGAAGGAGCAACAUAAGAUGUGGAGAUAUCUUUGGCUUGAAGCAUUAUCUCUGCUUUGAUCUUGGAAAGGGCAUGUUAUGUUAAGCAUGCUCGGAUCAACACCCUGAUUGCUAGGUUUUAUUGGCAUGAACCUUUUGGAGGUUGAACAUUAGCUUGUUGGAUCCAAUUCCUUCCUUGACUCCAGUUUGAUGGUAGUUCAUGUAAUCUGAUAUCUAUAGUUGUGUACGGGAAGGGUGAAUUUUGCUGUUUGCUGAGAUGUGCUAGCUGUGGUGCUGAUUUUGGUUCACAGAUGGUGGAUAUCAUGUUCAUGCUGUUUGCAAUCCACUGUCUCCUACCAUUUUCUUUUUGAUAAUGUCAUGAGUGUUUUGGCCUACCAAGGAAUUUGAGUAGCUGUGGUUGCCUAAAGAUGGAUCCGAUUCGAAUGCAUUUACAUGUAGCUGGCUCAGGUUCAUAUGAAUGCUCCUUGAUUACUUCUUGGUCUAAAGUUUCAAGUAGCUCUUUGUGGCAAUGACUGCAUUGAUAGGAAUGGGUUCGUGUUGGUGAAUGCAGCCUGUGGUGCAGUAUUAUUAUAGUUAGAUAUUGUCAUUAGGACAUGUUCAUACAUGUGAAUGAUUCUCUUUUCCCAAUGCUUUGUAUUUUUUUCUAAAUGGUUCUACUUCCUACAAUAGCUCAUACUCAUAGUUGUUCUGUU